rnacentral:lncRNA from 1 species
GUGUGUUCAAAUCCAAAGGAAAUGUUACAGAAAUGAAACAUUUCAAUUAUUCUAAUUUAUUUCUUAACUUCCACAGCACACAAAAUUGCCAAGGUAGGGGUGGAGCUGUCACUCACAGCAGCCAAUUGCCCUCCAAGCUGCUGUAGAACGGGGCAAAGGGGCACUUGUGCUUCAUCCAGAGGCAGAGCUGUCCUUUUGAAAAUGAAGACCUUUAAACCAACUGCAUCCUGAGUAAAGUCAGACAUUGCCUAGAACUGGUAAG